UCCCUCUUAGCUCGGUCAGUACAGCAUGUCACUACUAUCAUUCCAUUCGCUAUUCUCAUGACGAGGUCAGUUGGUCAAGUUGGCUAGAGGGAA